GCUCUCGAGACUUCGUCUCAGACCU
rnacentral:miRNA from 10 species